UGGGGAAUAUUGCACAAUGGAGGGAACUCUGAUGCAGCGACGCCGCGUGAACGAAGAAGGCUUUCGAGUCGUAAAGUUCAUUUAUAUGGGAAGAUAAUGACGGUACCAUAAGAAAAAGCCCCGGCUAACUACGUGCCAGCAGCCGCGGUAAUACGUAGGGGGCUAGCGUUGUCCGGAAUCACUGGGCGUAAAGGGUUCGCAGGCGGAAAUGCAAGUCAGGUGUAAAAGGCAGUAGCUUAACUACUGUAAGCAUUUGAAACUGCAUAUCUUGAGAAGAGUAGAGGUAAGUGGAAUUUUUAGUGUAGCGGUGAAAUGCGUAGAUAUUAAAAAGAAUACCGGUGGCGAAGGCGACUUACUGGGCUCAUUCUGACGCUGAGGAACGAAAGCGUGGGUAGCAAACAGG
rnacentral:rRNA from 1 species